rnacentral:rRNA from 1 species
UGGGGAAUUUUCCGCAAUGGGGGCAACCCUGACGGAGCAGCGCCGCGUGAGGGAGGAAGGCCUGUGGGUUGUAAACCUCUUUUCUCAAGGAAGAAGUACUGACGGUACUUGAGGAAUCAGCAUCGGCUAACUCCGUGCCAGCAGCCGCGGUAAGACGGAGGAUGCAAGCGUUAUCCGGAAUUAUUGGGCGUAAAGCGUCCGUAGGCGGCUGUUCAAGUCUGCUGUUAAAGGCCAGGGCUCAACUCUGGAUAGGCAGUGGAAACUGAGCAGCUAGAGAGCGGUAGGGGUAGAGGGAAUUCCCAGUGUAGCGGUGAAAUGCGUAGAUAUUGGGAAGAACACCAGUGGCGAAGGCGCUCUACUGGGCCGUUACUGACGCUGAUGGACGAAAGCUAGGGGAGCGAAUGGGAUUAGAUACCCCGGUAGUCC